rnacentral:ncRNA from 1 species
AGGAGCCAUAUGAGGUGAAAAUCUCAUGUACGGUUCUGUGGGUCUUUGGAAUGGCUUUUUCUUUUUAUUUAUUAUUUAUCGUGAAU